rnacentral:rRNA from 1 species
UACAGAGGUCUCAAGCGUUGUUCGGAUUCAUUGGGCGUAAAGGGUGUGUAGGUGGCGCCGUAAGUCGGGUGUGAAAUUUCGGAGCUUAACUCCGAAACUGCAUUCGAUACUGCGGUGCUUGAGGACUGGAGAGGAGACUGGAAUUCAUGGUGUAGCAGUGAAAUGCGUAGAGAUCAUGAGGAAGACCAGUGGCGAAGGCGGGUCUCUGGACAGUUACUGACACUGAGGCGCGACAGCGUGGGGAGCAAACAGG